rnacentral:rRNA from 1 species
UACAGAGGGUGCAAGCGUUGUUCGGAAUUAUUGGGCGUAAAGCGUGCGUAGGCGGUUUGUUAAGUCCGUUGUGAAAGCCCUGGGCUCAACCUGGGGAAUUGCAGUGGAUACUGGCGAGCUAGAGUGCGGUAGAGGAUGGUGGAAUUCCCGGUGUAGCGGUGAAAUGCGUAGAGAUCGGAAGGAACACCAGUGGCGAAAGCGGCUUCCUGGUCCAGCACCGACGUCAGGCACGAAAGCGUGGGGAGCAAACAGGAUUAGAA